rnacentral:rRNA from 1 species
GGGGGAAUUUUGGACAAUGGGCGAAAGCCUGAUCCAGCAAUGCCGCGUGUGUGAAGAAGGCCUUCGGGUUGUAAAGCACUUUUGUCCGGAAAGAAAUGGCUCUGGUUAAUACCUGGGGUCGAUGACGGUACCGGAAGAAUAAGGACCGGCUAACUACGUGCCAGCAGCCGCGGUAAUACGUAGGGUCCAAGCGUUAAUCGGAAUUACUGGGCGUAAAGCGUGCGCAGGCGGUUGUGCAAGACCGAUGUGAAAUCCCCGGGCUUAACCUGGGAAUUGCAUUGGUGACUGCACGGCUAGAGUGUGUCAGAGGGGGGUAGAAUUCCACGUGUAGCAGUGAAAUGCGUAGAGAUGUGGAGGAAUACCGAUGGCGAAGGCAAUCUCCUGGACCUGUACUGACGCUCAUGCACGAAAGCGUGGGGAGCAAACAGGAUUAGAUACCCUGGUAGUCCACGCCCUAAGCGAUGUCAACU